GACGAACGCUGGCGGCGUGCUUAACACAUGCAAGCCGAACGGUGACGAGUGGAGCUUGCUCUGUUCUGAUCAGUGGCGAACGGGUGAGUAACACGUGAGUAACCUGCCCCCUGACUCUGGAAUAACUUCGGGAACCGAAGCUAAUACCGGAUAUGACACAGAGCCGCAUGGUUUCUGUGUGGAAAGUUUUCGGUUGGGGAUGGACUCGCGGCCUAUCAGCUUGUUGGUGAGGUAAUGGCUCACCAAGGCGACGACGGGUAGCCGGCCUGAGAGGGCGACCGGCCACACUGGGACUGAGACACGGCCCAGACUCCUACGGGAGGCAGCAGUGGGGAAUAUUGCACAAUGGGCGAAAGCCUGAUGCAGCGACGCCGCGUGAGGGAUGAAGGCCUUCGGGUUGUAAACCUCUUUCAGUAGGGAAGAAGCGCAAGUGACGGUACCUACAGAAGAAGCACCGGCUAACUACGUGCCAGCAGCCG
rnacentral:rRNA from 1 species